AUGAACGCUGGCGGCGUGCCUAAUACAUGCAAGUCGAGCGAACAGACGAGGAGCUUGCUCCUCUGACGUUAGCGGCGGACGGGUGAGUAACACGUGGAUAACCUACCUAUAAGACUGGGAUAACUUCGGGAAACCGGAGCUAAUACCGGAUAAUAUGUUGAACCGCAUGGUUCAAUAGUGAAAGACGGUUUUGCUGUCACUUAUAGAUGGAUCCGCGCCGCAUUAGCUAGUUGGUAAGGUAACGGCUUACCAAGGCAACGAUGCGUAGCCGACCUGAGAGGGUGAUCGGCCACACUGGAACUGAGACACGGUCCAGACUCCUACGGGAGGCAGCAGUAGGGAAUCUUCCGCAAUGGGCGAAAGCCUGACGGAGCAACGCCGCGUGAGUGAUGAAGGUCUUCGGAUCGUAAAACUCUGUUAUUAGGGAAGAACAAACGUGUAAGUAACUAUGCACGUCUUGACGGUGCCUAAUCAGAAAGCCACGGCUAACUACGUG
rnacentral:rRNA from 1 species